GUAUGCCACAAGCAGCGAUGGCGAGCAGCGACAAGCACGAAGGAACGUGGUGGAAUGGAACCAAGUAUAUUUUUGAAAGUCAACGCGGCAAUCCCACUAUUGUUUCUUCAAAUUGAAUACACUACAUCUGUAUCUAUUUACAUUGGUUUCCGAAGAAAUACGUUGAUGCACGUAGUGAGGCGUGAAACAGGUUUUCGAUGUUUAAUCCGACUCGACUGUCUCGUGAGAAGUUUGAAAAAUGAAGUUGGUCCUGGCCUCUCGAGCUAACAGAGACAUUAUUUACUUUAGGCGUCGUCCUUUUCAAAGAACUUUAGUCAUGUCGCAAGCUGACACCUAUACUGUGCAUCAGGUUAUCGUCUGUCUGUAUCGUGUAAAGCCAGAUUAGAUAUCAGCCAAUACCCGUCUCUACAUUCGUACGAUUCUUUCGCAGACUUCUGUGGCCUUCUUAAACGCACGUGAUUGUUUCCAAUUGACAAAGUGGCAGGAUUUUCGCAGUUGUGAAGUUCAAAGAGUUUCAGCGGUUCUCAUGCCGUCUAUGGUAACUCCAACGGACGUGGACGCGUCUCUGACGUAUAACGAACAAAGGAAUUGCUGCUUCCAUGCAUUCGCAGUCCGUGAAUGGUGUAAACAUGUGCAUACAGGAAGCCUUUCCGUGUAUCAGGAUAUCCUUGAAGCUUUUAUGGGGCCCUAAAGGAUUCCUGAUUUAACGUUGCUCAGCAAGUUCGCAACGUGCCAAGGUCAAGGACAACAGCAUACUCGUCGGGUAACCCUUACCAAGUCUAACCUCUGCUCUUUUCCUUCCAUUUACAUUACCAUUUACUAUAGCUGAUCGACAAGUCACACCGCGUAUCUCUUAACACGGUGUACAGACAGGCAGUGCGUAAACAACUUGAACAGUCGAGAGUUUACUAGUGGGCAGUGCUCAAUUGAGCCACUGGAUAACUGCAAUUUGUUCGACCGGAAACAAAAGGCAGAGACGUUGGGGGAGCAAUAUUAGACCUUACUCAAGUCUCUUGAGGGUUCGUUCUCUGCUCAAGUCUUUUUCCGCCUGUUCACGAUGCAAGGCGUCAUCCAUUUAUGUUCAUUCAAAGAGUCAUUCCAGGCUCUCUAUCAUACCUGAGCCUAGAUCUAUAGACAUUGCUGAACAAUAGACACAAGAACAGUUUUGUUUCAUCGCUGAGGAAUGAACUAAGGGCUCUAUAGAAAUCGUGCACAGAUAACGACUCACAGUGUUCUUCAAUAAUUUCUGAGGUCUAAUCGCUCGUCGAUUUCGAUUUGAAAUUCCAACUAGACAUAGGUCAUUGUUGUUUCACGAUUGGCAUUGUUGAAAGACCUUGUAGAGCAGCGGUUACGAUUGACAUGCCUGCCUUGCAAAUACGUGAAAGUUAAUUACAAUGUUAGGAAGUUACAGGUCGAUUAUGAGGUUAUCUGAAUCAGGUCGAUGUUACAUUUUCAUUUGGAGAAGGAAAGAAGGCCGUUGAGAAAUACGAGGGGCACGAUCUGCGUCAUAGAAACGCUGAUUCUAGUAUAACUGUUUUUUAAAAUUAAUUUGAAAUUUCUUAACGGUCUUCUUAUUUUGUCUAGUUAAAAAAGUACAAGAAAUCGUUAUCUAGAAAGAAUUGAUGAUCAUACGAAAAAAGUGUCCUCGGUGCUUAACUCGAGUCUCUUUUUAAGGUUAUCCGAUAACCGGUUAUCCAAUAAAACAAAAAUCAAAAUCCAUACUCGUAGUGCCUUGAAGAAAAUUUCAGUAUAAAUUAAAAUCGUUAGCUACUAUGUGACUGUGAGAUAGACGCCAUAUUUUUUGGGCUAUCUAUUUUUGCAUUCAUUUAAACUCUACUAGCCUUCACGAUCGAAUUCGUGCUAAACCAAACUCCAUUAUUUGUUCACACAGCAACUAGAGAAAACAUCCCCAAAAAAGAACUUCAGACUCAUGCGCCAUAAUACUGUUUGUAUUACGCGCGCGGAAACGACCGUGGCCUCCUUUUGCCAUACAUAGUUCAAUUAUCAUUGUAAAAACUAGGCGUCAAUCUAGUGAUCCAUAAAAUCGUGCUAUCUGCUCAGAUUAAACAGGAAGUUUGCUUUACUCGUGUCAUAUGCUCUUUUGUUCGUUGCUAAGAGAAAUUCAAUUAUAUGCCAUUUUUGUCACUUUGUCACGCGACAGCUUGAUUCCAAUUAUCAAUUGGAUCACGUGCGCCAAUACUAUACGAGGUAUACGCACAUAGACUGUGAAUACGAAUAAUAAUCGAAGCGUAAACAGUAGGUACGCUAGUGAAUCUUUACAUACUAUAGUUCCAAUUUUACUAUAGCACUGAAUUUACUAUGGAUUCCGGCGAAUGCGUAAGAUACAAGAUGCCUCUUAUAUGCUAGACAAAGUGUUUGCUUACCAUACCAUAAUAUAGUGUGUGUGUAUAUAUAUAUAUAUGUACUUGAAACCUUCAAAAGCGUCAAGAGUAAACUCAUAAGUCAUUCGAUACAAGUCCUGUUUUCAUACUGCUAACUUAGGCAAUGUUAAAAUCAGUAGAACGCACCAAUACGAGAAGAAAUGUAAAUCAACAUCAUCAAAUAUAAAAUUAAACACGGAA